CCCUUGGGGGUUUGGUGGUUAGGACUUGGUGCUUUCACUGCUGUGGCCCAGGUUCAAUUCCUGGUCUAGGAA
rnacentral:tRNA from 1 species